rnacentral:ncRNA from 1 species
AUGCAGAAGUGAGAAUGUUGGCAUAAGUAGCGAGAGCUAGGUGAGAAUCCUAGCGGUCGAAAACCUAAGGUUUCCUGAGGAAGGCUCGUCCUCUCAGGGUUAGUCGGGACCUAAGCCGAGGCCGAAAGGCGUAGGUGAUGGACAACGGGUUGAUAUUCCCGUACCACUUGCAGACGUUAUUACAAAUGGGGUGACGCAGGAGGAUAGGUUGUGCAUACUAUUGGAUGUAUGUUUAAGCAUUUAGGAGUAGCUAGUAGGCAAAUCCGCUAGCCGAAUCUGAGGUGUGAUGAGGAGCUCAAUAGAGCGAAGUAACUGAUUCCACGCUGCCAAGAAAAGCCUCUAUGGAGGAAGCAAGUGCCCGUACCGCAAACCGACACAGGUAGGUGAGGAGAGAAUCCUAAGACCAUCGGAAGAACUGCUGUUAAGGAACUCGGCAAAUUGACCCCGUAACUUCGGGAGAAGGGGUGCCUACGCAAGUA